rnacentral:rRNA from 1 species
CCUACGGGGGGCAGCAGUGAGGAAUAUUGGUCAAUGGACGAGAGUCUGAACCAGCCAAGUAGCGUGAAGGAUGACUGCCCUAUGGGUUGUAAACUUCUUUUAUAUGGGAAUAAAAUGUUCCACGUGUGGGAUUUUGUAUGUACCAUAUGAAUAAGGAUCGGCUAACUCCGUGCCAGCAGCCGCGGUAAUACGGAGGAUCCGAGCGUUAUCCGGAUUUAUUGGGUUUAAAGGGAGCGUAGGUGGAUUGUUAAGUCAGUUGUGAAAGUUUGCGGCUCAACCGUAAAAUUGCAGUUGAAACUGGCAGUCUUGAGUACAGUAGAGGUGUGCGGAAUUCGUGGUGUAGCGGUGAAAUGCUUAGGUAUCACGAAGAACUCCGAUUGCGAAGGCAGUUCACUGGACUGCAACUGACACUGAGGCUCGAAAGUGUGGGUAUCAAACAGGAUUAGAUACCCUAGUAGUC